GCUUCCCUCCCAUUUUUGCUGAUUUUCAUCUUCUUCUUUAGAAGCUCUUACUCACAUAAAAAAGAGAACCAGCAGCGAUAGGGAACUCACAAGAAAAUUCAGACUUAAAAAAAAACAGGGCAAGAGGAGUGGGAAAUCGCAUCGAGUGGUUGAGGCUGAAAUCCGGUCCGCACCUGCGCUUUGUCCGAGAUCGAAGUGUAAUCACAUUCAAGAUAAAACUAUAUAGUACAAAGGUAUUUUCCCUUUUCUACCUUGCUUCAAUUUUUAAUUCAUAUAUCAUGAA
rnacentral:lncRNA from 1 species